rnacentral:rRNA from 1 species
UACGUAGGGUGCAAGCGUUGUCCGGAAUCAUUGGGCGUAAAGCGCGCGUAGGCGGCCCGAUAAGUCCGCUGUAAAAGUCAACGGCUCAACUGUUUGAAAGCCGGUGGAUACUGUCGGGCUAGAGUACGGAAGAGGCAAGUGGAAUUCCUGGUGUAGCGGUGGAAUGCGCAGAUAUCAGGAGGAACACCUAUAGCGAAGGCAGCUUGCUGGGACGUUACUGACGCUAAGGCGCGAAAGCGUGGGAGCGAACAGG